rnacentral:tRNA from 1 species
UCGUAGCUCAGUUGGUUAGAGCGUUGGUCUAUUAAACCCAAGGUCGAGUGUU